CCUCUGCAUGCCACUGAGGACAGGCCUGUGAGGCAGGAAGAGUUUCCUCGCCAGAACCCAACCCUAGCAGACCUAGACCUGGGACUUCCAGCCUCCAGAAACAGGAGAAAAUAAAUUUCUGCUGUCUAGAAGUCCCCCAGGUAUAUUUUGCUAUGGCAGCCCAAGCUGACUGAGACAGAUGGUGACAGGCACCAGCAGCCAGGCUUCAGCCAUCAGCCUCACCCAGCUGAACGCAGCUCCUGCUCUUGGAUGGAGGAAGGUCAUAGCGAUGCCUGAAGGGAGAAGCCUGUUCAUGCCAUCUGCUCCCCAGACACCAGCUCCGGCGGCGUGGAUGCUGCUGCCUUCCAGGUGGCUGGGAGCCCGCUCUCACGUUUGGGAGCUAAUGUCUGUGGAAAGGGAGGGUGCUCAGUCCACAUGGGAUUUUGCUCCCCUGACACAGAGCAUAAGGAUGCUGUAAGCUGAGAGUGAAGUCAUUGUCCACCUCCCAGGGGCCACAUUGCAGGUCCAAAUACAGAAAAGAGAGUGUCUUAAAGGAAGCCUUUGACUCUCUUUGGCUGAGUUUAUGGAAAGGAAAAUGGUGCGAGCUGUUGAUGGAUCUACCAUUCUGGGAUCUGCAAGGCACUGGCCCUCCUCUCAGCACUCCAGUAGGCAGUGCUGCAGUGAGGACUCUGUGUGGGGGCUCCAACCCCACAUUUCUCCUCUGCACUGCCCUAGUAGAGGUUCUCCAUGAGGGCUCUGCCCCUGCAGCAGACUUCUGCCUGGACAUCCAGGCAUUUCCAUAACUCUUCUGAAAUCUAGGCAGAAGUUCCCAAACCUCAACUCUUGACUUCUGUGCACCUGCAGGCCCCACACCAUGUGGAAGUCACCAAGGCUUGGGUCUUGCACUCUCUGAAGCCAUGGCCCAAGCUGUACCUUGACCUCUUUUAGCCACAGCUGGAAUUGGAGCAGCUGGGACACAGGGAACCUUGUCCUGAGACUGUACAGAGCUAGCUGGGCUGUGGGCCUGGGCCAUGAAAUCAUUUUUCCCUCCUAGGUCUCUGAGUCUGUGAUGGGUGGGGCUACUGUGAAGAUCUCUGACAUGCCCUGGAGAUAUUUUCCCAUUGUCUUGGUCAUUAACAUUUGGUUCCUCUUAUGCUAUGCAAAUUUCCACAGCAGGCUUGAAUUUCUCCCCAGAAAAUGGGUUUUUCUUUUCUACCACAUGGCUGGGCUGCAAAUUUCCCAAACUUUUAUGCUCUGCUUCCCUUUUAAAUACAAGUUCCAGUUUCAGAUAAUCUCUUUCUUCACACAUAUGAAUGUACACUUUUAGAAACAGCCAGAUCACCUCUUGAAAGCUUUAUUGCUUAGAAAUUUCUUCUGCCAGAUACCCUAAAUCAUCUCUCUCAAGUUCCAAGUUCCACAGAUCUCUAGGGCAGGGGCAAAAUGUCACCAGGUUCUUUGCUAACGUAUAACAGAAGUGACUUUUUCUCUAGUUUCCAAUAAGUUCCUCAUCUCCAUCUGAGAUCACCUCAGCCUGGACUUCAUUGUCCGUAUCAUUAUCAGUAUUUGGGUCACAACGAUUUAACAAAUCCCUAAGAAGUUCCCUCAUCUUUCUGUCUUCUUCUGAGCCCUCCACACUCUUCCAACCUUUACCUGUUACCCAGUUCCAAAGUCACUUCCAUAUUUUCAGGUAUCACUACAGCAAUGCCCACUCCUAGGUACCAAUUUUCUGUAUUAGCCAUUCUCU